AAAAUCUAUAUCGUUCUAUACUUAAUUUAAAGGAAACAAAGAAAAGAAAAAACAGCCGUUCACAACAAAGAGCGACAGGAAACUGGUGACGAGGUGGAAUUCUGGAAUUCUGGAAUUCUGGAUUCGUCUCCUCCUUUGUUUUCGUUUGGUUUCACUUAUUUUACCGGCUUUUUGGGAAGGCUGUCACAGCCCAGCUGUCCAGGCUGUGGGUUCUGUCCCUAGGGGGCGUCGGUCGGUGUGAUGUGGUCCAGUGUGUUGUGAUGUGGUGAAAGCUGAGGAUACGGUCACACGUCCAGGGCCGUCGAGAGUCUGGAUCCAGGUCCGGUCCAGGCCGGAUCCUGGUUUUCCUCUCUGUCUAACCCAGGUGCAUGAGUUGGAGACCAGUGAAGGGCCGGCGGUCUGGGGGGGGGGGGGGUGUGUCCCGACGGCUUCAAGUGUUGAAACUUCACACACACACACACAUACACACACACAUACACAACUAGUAGACGGAGUGUGUGUGGAAUAAAUGAAAUGAAACCAACACCAAUAAAACAUCUAGAACAUUUAAUACAACAACUGUGUCUGUGUCUGUGUCUGUGACUGUGACUGUGACUGUGUCUGUGACUGUGUCUGUGACUGUGUCUGUGACUGUGACUGAACAUGAACUGACGGGUUAGUUUAGUUAAACCUUUACUAGGUCAAUAGUCCUGAAAAUAACUACAGAAAUCUGACUUUUUAAAAAUAAAUAAAAAUGUUCAAUUUCAGAAAUCUCAGAUUAAAUUAAUCUAAAUUCUCCUGGGGGGGGCGUCACCACUUCCGGUGCCAUGGUCCAGUCACUACUUCCGGUGCCAUGGUCCAGUGAAAAUACACGCACCUGUUCCCGCACGUCGACUCACGUGCUUAGUCACAGCAAAUCAGGGCACGACGUAACACGUGAUGACGCACGACGUAAACAUUGAACGGUGUGCCGCGUGUUUCGACGGUAGGACGUCGUUGUCGGCUGUGACACACACACACACACACACACACUUUAGAGUCGUGUGUUAACGAAGCGGAUUGUCCUGCUGACGUCAACACUCCUGCAGAGUUCCACUCUGUGGUAGUAAAAUGUGGGACCAAGACGUGGGUCACGUGACGAGGUGACCAAGCGGUAACGGAUUAAAUGAUCGUCGCAUUCACUUCCGUGACCGACCGACUGACUGGCGAUAUAUGACGUCAGAUCCUGUAAAGCUCCUCCCAAAAAGAUGCCAAGGAUCAGGGUUUUUUUAUUCCUUUGACUAUUUCACACUCCUGUCUCAGUCUGGCCCAGACUGUGGGCCAUGUUUGUUUGCUGUCCAGCCCACCAGAACAUCACGGGUCCUGGAUCUGGUACUUAUUGAUGAACCGUCCACUGUAGAAGAGCUGGAGGGGGAGGAGCCUCAUUCACAGAGAGAACAGUGUUCUGUUCCGUCCAGAACCGUCAGUUCAGGAGAAAAGACUUCGUGAUUCGUUGAAGCUGCUUUUUCUGCAAACAGGAAAGUAAUUAUUGUCUUUCUUCAGGGACCAGGGGGCGCUGGAGCGGCUUCUCAGCCCACAGUUGUUAUAUAUUUGAACCCGUCUUCCUGUCGGUCGACACAUAAAUUAUACACAACGUGCUGCUCCGCAAAGGGGGAGGGGGGGGUGGGGGGCACAGUUACAGGUCACUUUGUUACAGCCAGUAAAAAUGUAGGACAUGUCCGAGUGAGUUAGAGGCCAAAAACUUUACUGCCCCCCUCCCCCCCCCUCCCACCCCCACACCAACACCUUUACAAUGACAAAUAAAUUCAUACACACACACACUUUCUGUCAGUCUCCCUGACAAACUCACUCACACCCUCACCCUCACCCUCUCUCUAAUUUCCCCUGUGUCUCUGCAGUGAGCUCACUGCAGUGCGACUCCCCCUCUCUCCCCCCUCUCUCCCCCUUCUCCCCCGCCACCACCCUCAGUAUAAUAGAAUAUCGAUCGCUCGCCUUUGUCGCAGUGUGUAAGCCAGUGUGUGUGUGUGUGUUUGUGAAAGACGAGGGCCCUCCAAGGUCAUUGUCAUGACAACCUGAGUGGGGGCGCUAUCGCAGUGCUGUCACAGACCACAGGUCACAGGGGUCACAUGAAACACAGGACAAGAGGCCGGGCGUAGAGGGACGGGGGAGACGGGGGGACGGGGGUGAUGAAUGCUGCAGUGCUGCAUCCUGGACAGGAGGAGGCAGGAAGUCCACGGUGUAUUCACACCAGGCCGGUGGAGAAUUCACACCAGGGCGAGGGGGUAGAAAUGGGUCUUAAACAGAAAAACAGUUUUUUAAUAGUUUUAUCUGUGGGAAAAAACAGAAAUGGUUCUUAGACAGCGGUGCAUGUAAUGCUGGGGUACUUGGGCUCCCUCUAGUGGUACAUUGGAGAAAUGAAAUGCUAAUAGAAUGUGUUUUAUACGUAGUAUGUGUGUACUGUAGGUGCCAGUUGUAGUACUACUUCACUGAAGACAGUACU